AUGCUUUUCCAGCCCUACUUGGGUAAAAGUUGAUGUCUUACUACUCAGUGUGGCUCUGUCCAUGCACUCGCAUGACUCAGAAUGAGACUUAAAGCUGUUCUCUUUUUGCCCCAUUACUGUGAUGCUAAGUUCUCCACAAACACUGAUUCUCAGUGUGCCUUUCUCCGACCUGCAGGCUUUCCCACGUCCAGCCGGCAUAGCCUUAUAACCUGCCCAGAGUCACACAGGAGCACGGGGAGCAGGAUUUUGGAGCCCACAGUGCACAUCCCGGGUGUGCGAUGGCACCGCAACACGCUCGCAGGGAGGAUGAGCUCUUUGGAGACAUGGUUUUCCAGAGACUUUUAAAUGUGAAGAGUCAGAACUUGGGAGAAUGGUGAUUCGUGCCGGUGGGGAGCCUGGCAAGCUGAGGCCUGGGAAAAGUGAUGCUGAGGCAAAAUGUUCCCUUCCAAAAGGAGAACCCUGAUCUGGUGGUCAGAAACCUGCAGAUUUGUCACAUUCAUCAUUGGAAGUGGUUGAAGCUGCCAAGUCGCUUGUUGGCCUGGUGAAGCAGCGAAGCUCAAUUAAUUCUGCUUUGUGAAGUGCUUUUGAUCUUCUGAUGGAAACAUGUAGGGGCAAAACACUUUUAUUUUGCAACUUGCAAAGGCUGAUAAGAGCGAUGAAAACGGAAAAGCCUCACCACUGAGGGGGAUUACAGCCCCACGCUUUUUCCACUCGAGAUCUUAGAGAUGAGCUGAUGGCUGCUGCUUUUCAUUUAGAAGGGUUUUUCCCCCUCUUUUGAAAGAAACGCAAUCACUACCAAGUAUUCUAGAGGGACUUCAUCUUUAAACAAAUAAUGUUUUUCUUGUUGGGUGUGCACUAUUAUUUUCUUAAUUAUUCCUGGAUUUAUGCCUGUUCCACCAAGAGUUUUCUCAGAUGGCAGAAACAAUUGGUCCCUUUUUGUUACGCUAAUAGCAAAAAUAAAUCCCUAAUAAAAAGACUCUGUACAUCCCAUAAACUCAAAUGGGACACAUUUUGCCAACAAUCACACCUCUUCAUUGAGGCAUCUUAUAUGCUGCUUCUUUUUUUUCUAAACUUUUUUUCCACAUUACUAUUGUUUACUACUCGGCCUCACUGGCUAGCUAAGUCUCGGUGCCAAAACGAAACGAAUCGAGUCAUUUAUUUAGCACCAGAGCCUUCCCACUCACCCUUAGCGUGAAUGUUGAGAUCUCAGCAGAUGUGGUAGGGAUUGAAUGGGCAAAGAGAUUCACCUACACAGAAUCACAUCUUCUUGUGGGUGGCCUCUAAUUAAUUUGGCUUCGAGGCUCCGCUGCAAGGUAGAUGGGUUAGGGAGUCUGGCCAGGAGUCAUCUGGUUGAAUCAUACCUAUUUUAUGGAGAACUUCAUUGUGUAGCUGUGUCUGACUCCCACCCUUGUGAGAACUAAUUAAACAAAAAAAAAAAAAA